rnacentral:ncRNA from 1 species
ACACAACUCUGGAGAUACCCAUUCAGUUGGGAGCCGAAGGUGCAAGGGUGAAAAUCCUAAUCUCUCAGGCAAAAGGACAGGGUCG